ACGCUCUUACUACCUAAGAUCAUUCUGAAAUUAUCCUAUGUUUUCUUUAAAUACUUUUAUAAGUAUCUUUUUGUGUAUGUAAAUAUUUAGUUCACCUGGAAUUUAUUUUGGUAUUAAGGUGUGAGACAGAGAUCCAAUUUUAUUUUGUUUUAUCCAACCCUUAUUGAAUAACCCACAUUUUCUCCAUUGUUUUAUUUUAUUUUUUUCUCCAUUGCGUUUUUUUUAAAAGGUCACCAGGCUGCCGCUUCAAUAUCAGAAACACACACAAGAUGCAGGGCAUUUGCCUAACAAAUGAAGAGAAAUAGGGAAAGAACUUUUUAUGUGCAGAUUCCAGGAAGGCAGAUUACAAACAGCAAAUCUGAGUGUCUCUUAAUCACACUUCAAGCCACUUGAAAUAUAAAAAGAUCAAGAAAUCGAACGUUACCAGCACAUCUGAAGUCGCCCUUGUAUCACUUCCCAGUCACUACUCCUCUCAAGGGUAAAGAAACACUCUUCUGAUUCCUAAUAGCAAAAACUAGUUUUGCUUGUUUUGUUUUUUUAUGUAAAGAGAAUCACACGGUGUGUACUCUUUUGUGUCUGGCUUCUUUUGUUCAACAUUAUUUUUGUGAGAUUCAGCCAUAUUGUUGUGUAUAGUUUUAGUCCAUUCAUUCUCACUACUGUGUAAGUGUUAUACUGUGGGAAUGUAGCACAGUUUACUUUUUGAUUUAUACUGAUGCCAUUUUGAUUAGAAUCACAUGAUUUUAGAUUAUACCUGAGGGAGAAUUGUUGUAUUUAUGAUAUAGAAUCUUCCUAUAAACAGGCAUAACUCAUCAAUGUCUCAGUAGUAGCAUUUUAAAGUUUUUGUCAUAUAAAAUUUACAAAGUUAUUUCUAGGUGUUUGAGCGCCUUAAUUGCUAUAGCUACUUUUAGUUUUAAACAGGUAAAAGGAUAAUUCAGACCCAAAGAGGAAUGCCCGUCGUUGCAGUAAAAGGCACAGGCUUGUUUUAUGGGCCUAUCGUCUUCCAGCACCAGUGGGAGGUGGUGGCAAAAAAGAGGAAAUGAAGGGGAAGCCCAAAAAGAGGGGUUAAAAAUUUAAAAACCAUAGGAAUAAUUAAUCAGAUUAGUGAAAAGCCAGGUGUAAUCACUUUUCCUGGAAAUGUUUGGCAGGAGGGUUGACUUCUAAUUGGUCGGGUAGUGAGGUUGGGGAGUAGAAGGGAUACCUUUAGGUGAGAUGAUUCCAGACUCACUCUCAAGUCACUGUGUGUUUGGGAUUUGUCACCUCAUUCCCCCUCUAAGAGCUCGAAUCAGGAUGAAAAGACUGAGUUGUGAGAAGCUGGGUUCGGGUGCAUUGUGAUUUCUUUAUUGUCACCUCUAGUUUCAGAGUCCAUUCUGCUUCCUUAAAGGGUGUUCUGAACAAGAUGCAGGUGGCAGUUGGUGAAACCAGUUACAAAGUGUGAGUUGCCCAGAGAGUCCAGUGGACAGGUGUUUCCACUCAGUACAUCAAAGCAGGAAAGUAGACUUUAGCCAGAGGGCUGGGCAGCAGGGGUUCUCAAACACAGCAGCCUAGUUCCAGGGCACUGGCUGCUUGUGGAGUUCCCGUCCUGGACAACAUGCAGACAAUUCAUCCAAGUGAUUUUCAGCUAUCUGAGGUUUUGGAAAACAGCACACUCCCUUUGCCUAUUGUAGGAGUCACCCCUUCUUCUCCUGUCACUCAAGGCUCUUCACCAGAAGCUAGUGUCUAGGAGCAUUGGCCUCACUGUCAGAAAUUACGCUGGUGCUAUGCUCCAGUCUUUGGAUCAGAUUGAUGAAUUGUGGCAGGUGUCCUAGGGGAGAGGUAUUCCCCUCAGCCUCUCUGGCCACCACCAUCUAGCUCUAAGUCUUCCUACUUAAUUCCUCUUUACAAAACAGUUUGGAGGAGAGUCCCUGGUCUCAGAUGCUCUUCAGCCUGAAUCCCCACCACCUUCACUUCUUAGAGCGGAAGUCCUACCCCAAGUCUCCUCCCUCUCGCUGAGAGAUGAAUGCUGGGAGGAGAAGGGGAGCGGGCCGGGAGAAGCUGGAGGCAACAGUGUGCCUCUUUACAGAGUCCAUCCUGUCACCUAAUCUUACCUGUGCAGUUGUCUGUGUCACACUGUAGUCCUUCCCAGCCUUUUCUCCUCACCUCUAAAGGACCCUGGAGGGCACAGGCAACCUAAGCCUUCAGCUUUUCCCCUUGCCGCCUGAGGCUUCUCACAGCAGAGGCUAGGUGUAAAAUAUACAUGGGAUUUCAGAGACCUAAUAUGGAAAAAUAAUGUAAGAUAUUAUUACUCAUUUUUAUAUUGAUAACAUUGAAAUGAUAAUAGUUUGGGCACAUUGGAUUAAAUAAAAUAUAGUAUUAAAA